GCAACAAGGUCUUUGCUGUCGGUCAGUUACCUGGCGACAGUCUGCAGGGGAAGGGUUCGCCGGGCAAGAAGAAAAUCCGAUUCUGUGCUGGUCCCCUGCCUCUGUCCAAUGGCCAAGGCCCGGCCUCUCGUCCCGUCUGCGCGCACCUGCGAGGGCCAGCCCUGUCCCGGGCCUUGUGGGACGGCGCUGGCGGGCGGCCGUGGAGGGGUGCGGUCCCAGCUCCUCCGGCGGCCGGGGUCUUCGGAUGCCCUCUGCCGCUCGGACGCCACCCCCUCCACGCCGCAGCAGCGAUGCAUCACGGAUGUCUGGGCCUGGGGUUCUCCAUCUGUGGAUUCUCUUUCACCGCCGGAACGUUGUUUGUCAUGCUUUUCGUUUGUCUGGGGGAGGUAGCUAUUCUUAGUCCUGACAUGUGCGGGAGGAAGCGUGGAGGCCAGGCCUGCCGCACUGCCUGCCGGCGCUGCUGCUUUUCAUCCUCCCGAGCCAAGACUCGAAAGACGGAGCGAAACCGCAGAGACCCCAGGCCCACCGGGCUCGGGUGGCACUUGCGUUCGGGGGGGAGGCGUGGACUUUACCCUUCCCUGUGUGCCGACCACAGAGCGAGGCACUUUGUGUGCAAGCAUACUAACUGUGUGGCCGUUGACAAUGGUGAAAGAGAAGGCGUGGGCAGACAGGGAUGUUCCACGGCAGGGCAGGGUGGACGGGGCCCUGGCCGCGGCGGACGGUCCUCAGGCACUACAGCUAGUGUAGGCCCCGAGCAUGGCCCAGGAGGCUUCGCAGGGCCCCUGCCAACCUGGAAGCCCCUGUCUUGUUGCUGCUGAGGAAGCGACAGGAGGGGGCCCUUCCAGAGGGGCCAGACUCUGACCCCAGCGAGGCUUAUGGGGUCUGAGGCUCUGCACGGCCGUGACUGUAGAGGCUCGUCGUCACCAAGAACUUGGGAGAUGAGUGUGGGUCAGGAGCAAAAAAUACUAUUUGCCUCUGAUUCACGUUUCCUUGUCCUUUGCAAUUUUGCCUUCCUUCUUACGAAAGCUUCAAGAACACUGAGCGCUGGAAAAGGGCAGAGAGCAUCUGUAGUGGUAGCAGCAGAACAGCGUCUGCAGGCUGGACGUGGUGCUGCCGCUCCUUCCAGGCUUGGGGCUGCCUCCAGCUGUGUUACAGUUUUGCACAAGUUUUCUUACACUCGUUUUCCCGCUGAAGAGACCGCGUGCUGUGCCAUCAGGAUGAAAGCCCCCUGGGGUCCCACUGGGGAGGGGAGAUUGUGGAGGCACCUCGACAGCCCGGCACAGGAGCUGGGCUUGUUGCUGAGGACACGGCCUUGGCCGGGUGGCUCCUCUCUGCACAGUGUCACAUAGGCCCCGGAGCCCAGGUGCUCGUUGUGAACCCACUGGCAGACGAAAGGCCGAAGCUCCUCCAGGCCAAGGGGAGGAAGGCAGGCGCUCUAACUGCGAGGUCAGGAAGCUGACCCUGCCUGGGGCACUUCUGUUCAGUCUCCCCUUGAGGCUCCAUGCGAGAGGGCAGCUCCGCGAGAUGGCUCCCAGGGCGAGCAUCCCCUGGACUGGCACAGCCCUGUACCCCGCACCCCCUCGAGAGAGCAGCCUCGUGGGGUUCGGGGCCGCUGAGCCUGCCUCCAGCACCUCCCCUUGGCCUUCCUGUUCCUAAACCAGUUUGGUGAGGACACGAGUGCGGUGAAGCAUGUUACCUCGGCAAUGGGUCCCUCAGCAGGAGGCGGCCCGAUGCAAUGUGGCCAGUGGACAGGAGGCAGGUGCACACAGGCCGUGCUGUGGGCUUCCCACCCCAGGUCGGCCACUUCCUAGCUGUGCACUUGGACUUCUGACCCAUGAUAGGGGCCAGACCCAGGGAAGCCCCCGCAAACAUUGGCUCUGACAAUGGCCGCUUGUCUGUGGUCAGCACUAGCUGAUGUUUCCCUUUCGAUGCCAACCGUCAGCCAAGAAGUCCCAUAAAGACACCUAUGGCUCAGUCUAGAAAAGCACCCUGAGGACGUGUGGGGAGGGAAGGACCCGGUGCCUGGACAGUGCUUCAACCUACGUGUCCUGUGUGAAGACUGAAUAUCGAUGAGGCUCUUUUCUGCUAGAUAUCCUCUGCCGCUCUGCCCUCCUAGCCCCACGGAGGAGGUAUAAUUGUAAGUCGGAGGGAUAGGGCCAGAUGUUUGGGAACUUGCUGCCCCGUCCGAGCCAGCAGCGCAGGAGACGGACUCCCAUGCACACUGUGGGGUCCUCUGAGCCCCUUCCUGGGGCGUCAGGUAUGGAUGUGCUCCCCACGCCGGCGUUCAGAUGACACAGUGGGACCACGCAGACCCAGAACCGCUGGUAGGGACACGUUCGUGGUGUCUCCCUUGGUGCAUGGUCUUGGAGAUCCUGGAACCACCCGGAUAAAAUCCUCCUGCACCGGAGCCAAAGGACCCAAACCUGCGUUUGCCUCGUCGCCACCUGGUGGCGUCCCCCCACGGCUGCUGCAGGAGGAGGCAGGGCCCCAGGGGCCAGACGGUGUGGGGUGUGGGGGGCUGCGUCCAUGGUCCCAGGGGCCAGGGCUGCAGAUGGCAGCUCCCGCCAGCCCCUCUCCAUUUUCCUCUCUCUCCCUCUCUGUCUCUGUCUGUCCAUCUCUUACCAGGGACAGGGCCUGUCUUUUCAGCAAAGGCUGGCACGGAGGCCCCAUUAAGGCAGGAGGCUCCCCAAGUCAGCUGUCCCCUUGGAGUCUACACCCCGAGGUGGUUUCCUCCUCCAUGACCUGUGCCAGGUUUGCAGGCUCGCGGGCAGGCUCAGCCCACACUCUGGCCUCUGCGGCAGGGACUGUCCUUCUGGUGAUCCCGCUGGACGGGCUGACAUUCAGCCAUAAAUUGGAUCUCGCCAGCUGUGAACGGAAAGAGGAUUUUGGUUUAUUUACUGAGAUCCCGUCACUGUACUCGGAGCCGGGGCGGUAGCGUGAGAAAGAAAGGUAAACGGAUAGCGUGGAAGUUAGCGCGCGCUCCCAGGUCUGCUGAAACCUGCCUGCGGGAACGUCCUGGAGACCGGACCCCGCCAGCAGGGCCCCGAGCGGGCGGCCGAAAUAGCUGUGCCUCAGUGGGAUUGUUUUGUUUUGUUCAGAACUUUUCUGUUUUCUGAAAAUCCUGUCCCAGGAAAUACCAAAGGGGAAGAGAGCAGGCAAAGAGAAAUUCCUUCCGUCACUUCAGCACUGAGGCUCUUUUCUUAGUAGCCGGCAGGUUUUAGAGUGGUUUUAGGUCUGCAGAAAAAUCUGGUGGCGAGCCCGGGCCCCAUCCCCGUCCCGCUCCUGCCUCAGUUUCCUGGGUCGCGGGCAUCAUGCAUGGUCCAGCACACUACGUGGACACGUCAUUGUCGGGUGGAGCCCAUGGUUUCCGUGGGCGGUCACUGUCGGUGGUGGACGUCUGGUGGGUUUUGUCAGAUGUGCGAUGUCACGUAUGCACAGUCCCCAGAUCACACGGGACAGUCUCACGGCCUCCAGGACCCCUGAUGGCAAGGAAGGGUGAAAGCAGCUUUUAAGAAACAGCUGUCCUCGUUUUCAGAGCUGCAGGAGAGACGCCGGGGGCCAGACGUGGCUGCAGGAGGACGGAGGGCAGUCGGGUCUGCGUAUGCGUGCGUAAUGGUGGCGGCACACGGAUCUUAUAUUAAAGCAGAAGGGCAUGGCCGUGGGGGGGUGGGGUGCGCGUCCCUGCUGAGUAGGGCCGCACCUCCCUCCUUGAUUCAGGAGGGUGACUUUGGGGGCGAUUCUGUGCACACGUUGCCCCAUGGGAGAUGGUGCCACGAGGCCGGCUCUGAGCUGGUGUGCCCCCAACCAGGGAUCCGGCAGGAGGCAGCUUUCCUCCGUGGCGUGUUCUUGUGGACGUGGCUGGGGCUGACACGCGUCCUGCCUCCUUCGUGCCCGCACGGCAUGAGCCAGAGCCACCAGCAGCCUUUGCCUCUGGGAUCCAGAGAUAAUGAAGCUCUCUUGUCUUUUGGAGGUUCAGGCGAAGUGAAUGGGGGACCAGGCCAGGUGCCCCGGCUGGACAAGGCAUGUUCUCAGGUCCACACAGCGCUGGCCGACUGACCUGGCAGCUCGCUGCUGCGCAUGCGUCUGGGAGAAGAUGGGAGGCUUGCCCGGAGCUAGUUUCUUCUUCAGCUGGAGCCUCCCAGCCCCCACUUCCAGAGGGGAGGGUCUCUGAAGGUAUUUGUGGAUAACGGACACCUUGUCACGGCUGCGUGCCCCGGACGUGUUUUUCUCUGACUCUCAGAUUUCUGCUCCCUGAGGUGGGCGUGCUCAGAUCCCCUAGUGCUGGGGACAUUCCCGUCCCGGCCAGGGUCGGGCAGUGUUCACUACCUUUUCCAAAACCCCCGUUCGCCCCAAAGACGUCCUCUUGCUGUUGUUCCUUCUGGCACCCCCUGGCUUUGGCGUCAGACAAGAUGAAAAAGUACCCAUUUGAAAUUCAUUCGUAAGAACGGAAGACCAGGGCAUCGCCGGGCGUCUCCCGACGGCUGCGGCCCACUGCCGACCGCUCCGCUGAAAGCCAGCAUCUGGAACGCGGGGUCUUUGUGGCAACGGCUGUCGUCCGCCAGAACUGUUCCAACUAUAUUCCAAGAGGGCAGCGGGCCCCCGUCCAAUUCAUCAGCGACCUAAUGAGCGGCCCCGGAGGUCCUGGCCCGCCCGUUCCAGAAGCUCUCUCUGCCUUGUAAAGCCGCCCACCUGGAGCCCAGAGGAGCAGGACCUCGGAGGGGAGCUUUUGCUCGUCGCGCCCGCAGCACCAGGGACGUGGACGCGCUGCCUUGGACCGUCUCACCGCCUGCUUGGCCCUGAUGCCCACUCACGGGUGUCGUCAGACAGUGGCUGGGAUCUGGGGACUUCUCGUAACACCUGUGAUUUUGCCAACUUCCUGGAUGUUCAUUUCUGGUUCUGCACAAAAGAGCCACAUUUCCUUUUGGAAUCGGGACCUGGAGACAGACAGCAGCAGGCGCUGGAAAUUGUGAGUACUCCCCGGGCUUCCUCCAGCGACGCUCUGACCCUGUCCGUCCUGCCUCCCCUGUCCUUCUCGGCCAGUUAACCUUCUGUGGGGCUCCUCCACGAACCCCUCCUUCAGCCCCAGCACCGCGUGGACUGUGAGGAGCGGAGUCUCUGUGAUGUCUGCGCGAGCAUGGACGGGAAAGGGGCGGGGAGAGCUCGGCCGCGGCCGUGACUCCCGUGUUCAUUUUAAGGCUCCGAAAGAUGGCGAAAGUCAACGAAGCAAGCUGGUUUAUUUCAGGGCGAACCGUGGGUCCCUACUGAAUUUACCUAAUCAAAUGAAUUUAAAAAUUUUCAUCUUCUCAUUCCAUUCCAGCAGAAAAUGAGUUUGCCUUUAUGAUGUCCAGAUCUUUCGAACUCUACUGAGUGAGAAAUUAAGUUACAAAAUGUAAAUACUUUGGUGAUGCCCACAUACACGUAUGUGAAAUGAAUAUAGGCAUGAAAUGAAGUAAUUCCUGACUGUAACGUAAUAGCAAGCCCGACUUUAGGCUCCUAGGAUGCUUAAAAAAUUUUUAUGAUGUGUAAUAAAGAAAAUAAGGUGCAGUAAAAAAUGUUUCUCUUUAAAAAUGGGUGCCUUGUGAUACUUAAUAAAUUCAAUUGUA